UCUACUUAUAAAAUAAAGGCAAUUUUCUGCUCAAUCUUAUUCCAACAUUUGGGAAAGAGAGACAUUAUGACAAAGUUCGUUAUCAUCUCGGUUUUGGUCGUGGUGUUUUGCUGGUUUGGAAGCAAUGAAGCUUUUAGUUCUGGGCGUCGUCACUACGUCCAGCUUCCGCUUCCCGGGCAGACGGAAGAAACGCAACCCUCCGCGUGGGACUGGAGUACUGGACGGAGACAAAAUUACUAUCAAGUCCCCCGCAUCCUGCCACACCUUUGUCCCCCCGGCAUGGUUUCAGCGUACCAUGGUUGCGUCACAUUUCCAUGAAAAUAUUUGAAUCGGGUUCGCUAAUAAUUUUGGAAAAUAUCGCGUAACAACUCUGAGGAAAUUGAUCCCAAGCUUCACAAUGUUACAUACAUAUUUAUUUAUGUAUCAGGAUUUUGUAAAUUAUGAUAAGAAUCGCUUGUAUUUUUUUGUAAAUGAUUAAUAAAUAUUUAUCUAUUUA